CUUUCCCCAUAUGCACAUACCUCUAUCUUGACCAUUCUCCCCACUCUACACCUUGGUAGUUUCUUCUUCAGAACUCAAACACAGUCAACAGAACCUGAAGCUUCCUUCUGCCCCCAUACCCCACUCCUUGAUAAGAUCCUAAUGAUGCCACAGCACAGGGAUGCUUCCUUCUGAGAAACUGGGGCUGCCUCCUUCAUGAUAGCAGCUGAGGAUUUCCUUUUACCAGAACAUCACAUCCCAAUUAUCUCCUUGAUUUCCCACAAAUAAGGAACUAUCUUGCAAGACUUAUACUGAUUUUCUAAAAUCUGGAGGAUUCUCUUCUGGUUACCUGAAAGAUUUUCAAGGAAUCAUAAGCAGAGGAACAAACACCAUCAACCAAAGAAUAAGAUUCCAGAAAAAAAACAGAAGGAAAAUGAGCAGUAAGGAGAAAAAUGGUGGGAAAGCUGGACUGACAGGACAAGACCUUGGUUUGUGUUGAGGCAGCAUGGUGGCCAGAACUCUACUCAUGGACAGUGUAAGAGAAGGGCUACUUCUUCCAAAUGAGGAUCCGGGUCAGUGACUCCCAGGUGAGAGAAGAGGUUGGUGGUAUAUAUAUAUAUAUAUGUGUGUGUGUGUGUGUGUGUGUG
rnacentral:lncRNA from 1 species